UUCAGGUGUCAAAAAGGAUGUGGAGAAAAAGGAACACUCUUGCACUGUUCGUGGGAAGGUAAACUGAAGAAGCCUCUCUGGAAAACAGUAUGGAGG